GACGAACGCUGGCGGCGUGCUUAACACAUGCAAGUCGAACGGAAAGGCCCUGCUUUUGUGGGGUGCUCGAGUGGCGAACGGGUGAGUAACACGUGAGUAACCUGCCCUUGACUUUGGGAUAACUUCAGGAAACUGGGGCUAAUACCGGAUAGGAGCUCCUGCUGCAUGGUGGGGGUUGGAAAGUUUCGGCGGUUGGGGAUUGACUCGCGGCUUAUCAGCUUGUUGGUGGGGUAGUGGCUUACCAAGGCUUUGACGGGUAGCCGGCCUGAGAGUGGUACCGGGCACAUUGGGACUGAGAUACGGGCCAGACUACUACGGGAGGCAGCAGUGGGGACUAUUGCACAAUGGGCGGAAGCCUGAUGCAGCAACGCCGCGUGCGGGAUGACGGCCUUCGGGUUGUAAACCACUUUCGCCUGUGACGAAGCGUGAGUGACGGUAAUGUGUAAAGAAGCACCGGCUAACUACGUG
rnacentral:rRNA from 1 species